AUGGAGAAGCCGCCGAUCCCGAGCAUCAUCUCCACCGUCACCUACUGCUGCGGGGCGUGCGGGUACGACCUGAGGCUGAGCUCGCUGGCGCGGGACACGGCGGGCGGCGCUGGCGCGAGGCGGCGGUGCGUGGGCGCGGCGGAGGUGGUGUUCGACGCCAUCGACGACGCGCGCUUCGGCCACCUGGAGGAGUUCCGGUGGCUGGACGUGCGCGCCUGCCUCCCCUUCUCGCGCCGCACGCGCCUGCUCUGCCGCAAGUGCGGCGCCCGCCUCGGCUACGGCUACGACGACACCGCCGCCGCCGACCGCCCGCCGCGCUACCACAUCAAGAUCCGGGCCCUCCAGCCCGCCCCCGACCCCUCCGCGGCGCCGUCCGAUCGGUGA
rnacentral:rRNA from 1 species